ACAAGUACAGAAACAAAGCAUGAGCACAAGCAAGCCUUGGCUGCUUGCCACAGUAAAAGAAAACAAGAGGGAUUGUUCAUGAACAACAGGACAAAUGUGUGUAAUGUCUCUGUGGAAGAGCUUCAGCUGCUCCUCGGCGGUGUACUUGAGAGAGUCAUGUCACAACUUGGAGCUGAUAAACAAACGCACCCUGGGUACAGCCUGUACUUCUCUGCGUCCAGCCUUCCCCCCCAGUGAAAGGAACAUCUACCCUUCAAAUCCAUCACCUCUACAAAGGCCUCGUUCCAAACGAACAGCACAAAGAACUUCAAGCAAUGGCACUUCAAACCAAGCUGCUGCUCAACAGAGGUAUUGCUGUUUUUCAGAAGUGCAGCCCGCAUAAACAUCUACUCACUUGUUAAAAAUCACUUUCUAAAGCCAUCUUGGCACAGAAAACCCCUGCCGUCUAUUUCAACGCACAGCUCUGAACAGUGUAAUCUGCACUCUACGAUCUUUUCAUUGGAAACUGGCUGCACUGGAUUUCUGAAUUCUAAUUAAAAUAUCCACUGGAAGCCUCAGACUGCUACAGAAAAAGAAAGAUGAGAGAGAGAAAGAAAUCCUUAAAACUGCUGCAGUGAAAACUGACUUCCCACAGUAUUUUUUAGCUUGAGUAGAUUAGCAAAAAUCGGUGAACAGCUGAAAACCAGGAAACUCUUUUUCGAUAAUUUUGUCUUUUUUUUAGGAGGAUUAAGGAAGCCUUAUCACUUAAAGCUGGCAUUUAGCUUUGCGGAGUAUUUAUUUUUCUCCUAUAUCAGGGAGCAAAAAUAAAAUAAAAUAAAAAAUCUCAGAAGAGGAAUUAUUAGAGCCAUUCUGCUCAGGAAUCUGUACCAAACUGGUGUUACUAACUAAAAGAAGUUAGACUUAGGCUGCCGCUGGCUAUAUCACAACACAGUCUUUAGUGAUGUCUCUUCACUAACAGGAUACAACAGUUAAGGCUUUGCAAUGCACACUGUUGUAUGAACUUUCUACAUAGGUACUCUGUACAGUAGUACUGUGUUUCCUUCCCAGAAAUCAUUGAAUUCUCCUCUGUACCAGACUGACCACAGAGCCAACGCUGAGUCAUACGCAUUCCAAAUACAUAGAAAAACACAGUAGGUGUUGCAAAUAAGAGAUAGACAAUUUCUUAGAUAAGUUCUAAUUUUAGAUACACAUGAUUAUAUCUAACUGGUUUUAAGAAUAUAGCCAGGUAGCUGCUGGCACUCGCUUUCUUGGCCUCUUCUAGGACUAGAGGGAAUGGCUUCAAGCUGCGCCAGGGAAGAUUCAGGCUGGACGUUAGGAAAUACUACUUCUCUGAAAGGGUGGUCAGGCACUGGAAUGGGCUGCCCAGAGAGGUGGUGGAGUCACCAAGCCUGGUGGUGUUCAAAGAGCGUUUGGAUGUUGUGUUGAGG
ensembl:lncRNA